AUCCUCAUUCGUACUGACACAACUGACUGAAUUACUCAUCUUUUUCUCCUGUUUCAGUCACCACAUAAAAUAUGAUAAUUCUUAGGUUGUUGAACUUGUUCAUUUUUGCAUCAGUUUAUCAUGAGUGUCGUGGAGAAGAGAGUGUUGAUCAGCCAGAUAAACACAUCGCCCAAUCUGAAGGAAGAUCAGUAACCCUACAAUGCAAAUUUAAAACAGCUUCAUCCCAACCAGACCUUUUCUGGUACAUCCAGAGAGCAAAUGACUUUCCUAAAUAUAUCCUGAGGAGAAACAAAUAUGGAGCAGAAGAUAAUGAUCCUCAGUUUCAGGAGAGAUUUCGCUCUAAAGUGUCAUCAGAUUCAGUUCCUCUGACAAUCAAGAACCUGUGUGUGUCUGACUCUGCUGUGUAUUACUGUGCUCUGAAGCCCACUGUGACUCAAACACACUCAACACUCACACAAAAACAGAGGAAGUGCUCAAUUAUAUGAAAAGAUGUGAAUCCUAUGGCGGCAUUUUAAUGCCAUUAAUGACCGAGCGCACAAUUGAUGCUUGCGCGCGCAGUAAAUCACUUCCGCGAGAGGAUAACAGAUCUGCACGCGAGGAAACGGGAGCCCGCAAGCUCAUUUUAAACCCGCGCGCGCGCAUGACAUCUUCCUCUGCGCGCAGAUCAAGCCCUCGCGUGCUCGGACAAGAUUUGCAGCCCGCGCGUCAUCAU